UUAGGAAUUUUGCGCAAUGGGCGAAAGCCUGACGCAGCAACGCCGCGUGAGGGAAGACGGCUUUCGGGUUGUAAACCUCUUUUAGCAGGGACGAACACAAUGACGGUACCUGCAGAAAAAGCACCGGCUAACUACGUGCCAGCAGCCGCGGUAAUACGUAGGGUGCAAGCGUUAUUCGGAUUUAUUGGGCGUAAAGCGCAUGUAGGCGGUUCGGUAAGUCUGGUGUGAAAGCCCUCGACUCAAUCGAGGAAGUGCAUUGGAUACUGUGGAACUGGAGCACAGGAGGGGUGAGGGGAAUGCCAGGUGUAGAGGUGACAGUGGUAGAUAUCUGGAGGAAAAAGGGCGGCGAAGGCGGCUCACUGGGCGGUAACUGACGCUCAGAUGCGAUAGUGUGGGGAGCAAA
rnacentral:rRNA from 1 species